rnacentral:rRNA from 1 species
AGUGAACGCUGGCGGCGUGCCUAAUACAUGCAAGUCGAACGGAGUGGCGCACGGGUGAGUCAUGUAUAGCUAAUCUGCCCUACACUAGCGGCCAACAGUUGGCAACGCCUGCUCAUACUCUAUAGUGUAGGCUGCGGCUAUAUUGUAUCAGCUAGUUGGUGAGGUAAUUGCUCACCAAGGCUAUGACGCAUAACUGGGCUGAGAGGAGGAUCAGUCACACCGGAACUGAGACACGGUCCAGACUCCUACGGGAGGCAGCAGUAGGGAAUAUUGCUCAAUGGGGGAAACCCUGAAGCAGCAACGCCGCGUGGAGGAUGACACUUUUCGGAGCGUAAACUCCUUUUGGUAGGGAAGCGGUACCUAACGAAUAAGCACCGGCUAACUCCGUGCCAGCAGCCGCGGUAAUAC